AAAGGGAGACCUAAUUCAGGUAAAAGACGAAAAAAAAGUAGUCGCUACCAAGAGUCAAUCCCAAAAGGUCGGAGCGAGGCGAAAUUGGCUUUCAAACUAGGUUCUGGGUUCAAACAAGACCUGAAUCAGGAACAAGGGCUAUUAGCUCAGGUGGUUAGAGCGCACCCCUGAUAAGGGUGAGGUCCCUGGUUCGAGUCCAGGAUGGCCCACCUGCACAGGUGGCAAAAACAAGAGAAGCGAGGAAUCAGCACCUUAUCUUACUUAUAUAGUAAGAGAGAAUGCUGGCUCUGAGUAAAGAGUCCAGAGGAACCUUGAAAACUGCAUAGAGCUAGGUGAAAAAGCCAAAAAAGAAGACCGCAAG
rnacentral:tRNA from 1 species